GUGGAACAUACUCAUGCACAUAUACACCUAUCUAUUGGCUGCUUAUGUACUUGUAAGUAUGCAUGCGUAUAUGACUAUUUGUGGACAGGAAAAUGGGCCUUGGCAGGUCUGCUUCUGUUCCUUUUCAUUGAAAAAAUUAUGAGUGAUGAGUCUCAAUCUAAGGAAUUGAAAGAAGCUGAAGAAAAAAAGCAUGAUUGCUCAGGGAAAGAAAACAGAGCUCCAUCCAAAAUCAAUCACAAAGAGGAGUUAAAUCAUAACCAAAAUAAAGAUGUGGCCUUAACAAAACCUUCAGAGCCUGUACAAGAAUCUAGAUCUAUAAAGG